AACAGGAUUAGAUACCCUGGUAGUCCACGCCGUAAACGAUGAUAACUAGCUGUCCGGGGACUUGGUCUUUGGGUGGCGCAGCUAACGCAUUAAGUUAUCCGCCUGGGGAGUACGGCCGCAAGGUUAAAACUCAAAUGAAUUGACGGGGGCCUGCACAGGCGGUGGAGCAUGUGGUUUAAUUCGAAGCAACGCGCAGAACCUUACCAGCGUUUGACAUGUCCGGACGAUUUCCAGAGAUGGAUCUCUUCCCUUCGGGGACUGGAACACAGGUGCUGCAUGGCUGUCGUCAGCUCGUGUCGUGAGAUGUUGGGUUAAGUCCCGCAACGAGCGCAACCCUCGCCUUUAGUUACCAUCAUUCAGUUGGGGACUCUAAAGGAACCGCCGGUGAUAAGCCGGAGGAAGGUGGGGAUGACGUCAAGUCCUCAUGGCCCUUACGCGCUGGGCUACACACGUGCUACAAUGGCGGUGACAGUGGGCAGCAAACUCGCGAGAGUGCGCUAAUCUCCAAAAGCCGUCUCAGUUCGGAUUGUUCUCUGCAACUCGAGAGCAUGAAGGCGGAAUCGCUAGUAAUCGCGGAUCAGCAUGCCGCGGUGAAUACGUUCCCAGGCCUUGUACACACCGCCCGUCACACCAUGGGAGUUGGGUUCACCCGAAGGCGUUGCGCUAACUCGCAAGAGAGGCAGGCGACCACGGUGGGCUUAGCGACUGGGGUGAAGUCGUAACAAGGUAACC
rnacentral:rRNA from 1 species